rnacentral:rRNA from 1 species
UACGGGGGAUGCAAGCGUUAUCCGGAUUUAUUGGGUUUAAAGGGUGCGUAGGCUGUGAGGUAAGUCAGCGGUGAAAUGCCCCCGCUCAACGGGGCGAAGUGCCAUUGAUACUGCCUUGCUGGAAUGCGGAUGCCGUGGGAGGAAUGUGUGGUGUAGCGGUGAAAUGCAUAGAUAUCACACAGAACACCGAUUGCGAAGGCAUCUCACGAAUCCGCGAUUGACGCUGAUGCACGAAAGCGUGGGUAUCAAACAGG